rnacentral:rRNA from 1 species
GACGAACGCUGGCGGCGUGCUUAACACAUGCAAGUCGAACGGAAAGGCCCUGCUUUUUUGGUGUGCUCGAGUGGCGAACGGGUGAGUAACACGUGAGUAACCUGCCCUUGACUUUGGGAUAACUUCAGGAAACUGGGGCUAAUACCGUAUAGGAGCUCCUGCUGCAUGGUGGGGGUUGGAAAGUUUCGGCGGUUGGGGAUGGACUCGCGGCUUAUCAGCUUGUUGGUGGGGUAGUGGCUUACCAAGGCUUUGACGGGUAGCCGGCCUGGGAGGGUGACCGGCCACAUUGGGACUGAGAUACGGCCCAGACUCCUACGGGAGGCAGCAGUGGGGAAUAUUGCACAAUGGGCGGAAGCCUGAUGCAGCAACGCCGCGUGUGGGAUGACGGCCUUCGGGUUGUAAACCGCUUUCGCCUGUGACGAAGCGUGAGUGACGGUAAUGGGUAAAGAAGCACCGGCUAACUACGUG